rnacentral:tRNA from 1 species
GGCAAGUUACCCAAGUGGCCAAAGGGAUCUGACUGUAAAUCAGCCGUCUAAGACUUCGUGAGUUCGAAUCUCGCACUUGCCACCA